UUUUUCUUUGACAUGUUCAGAUGUUGGCAAGGCUGAAAACUGCAGGGGAUCUGGUUGUGAUAAUCCAGCUUCUUCUGGGACGUAAUCUCAACACCCACCCUCCGAAAACAAGAAGGACCAGUCCUCUGAAACUCACUCCCUGUUUACGUUGAUGAAAUAGUCAUUCCUGAUUUCUGGACCAGAAACCUGAAUAUUGCAUUUCUCUAGCUCAUGUUCAGUAUAAGCUCUUGACAAAGAUUUGUUUCUUCCUUUCAGAUGUUAUCUAGGUUCUUCCCCUCUGGUCCGUUUAUGUUAUGCUUGCGCAGACUCUGACCCCAUCAACUAAGAUAC
rnacentral:lncRNA from 1 species